UACGUAGGGGGCGAGCGUUGUCCGAAGUUACUGGGCGUAAAGCGCGCGUAGGCGGUCCUUUAAGUUGAUUGUGGAAUCUUCACGGCUCAACCGGAAAACUGCGGUCAAAACUGGAGGACUUGAGAUUGGGAGAGGGAAGUGGAAUUCCUGGUGUAGCGGUGAAAUGCGUAGAUAUCAGGAGGAACACCGAUGGCGAAGGCAGCUUCCUGGCCCAAUUCUGACGCUGAGGUGCGAAAGCGUGGGUAGCGAACGGG
rnacentral:rRNA from 1 species